GACGAACGCUGGCGGCGUGCUUAACACAUGCAAGUCGAACGGUAAGGCCCUUCGGGGUACACGAGUGGCGAACGGGUGAGUAACACGUGGGUGAUCUGCCCUGCACUUCGGGAUAAGCCUGGGAAACUGGGUCUAAUACCGGAUAGGACUCCUGGCUUCAUGGUUGGGGGUGGAAAGCUUUUGCGGCGUGGGAUGGGCCCGCGGCCUAUCAGCUUGUUGGUGGGGUAAUGGCCUACCAAGGCGACGACGGGUAGCCGGCCUGAGAGGGUGACCGGUCACACUGGGACUGAGAUAUGGCCCAGACUCCUACGGGAGGCAGCAGUGGGGAAUAUUGCACAAUGGGCGCAAGCCUGAUGCAGCGACGCCGCGUGAGGGAUGACGGCCUUCGGGUUGUAAACCUCUUUCAGCUAUGACGAAGCGCAAGUGACGGUAGUAGCAGAAGAAGGACCGGCCAACUACGUGCCAGCAGCCGCGGUAA
rnacentral:rRNA from 1 species